rnacentral:rRNA from 1 species
GAUUGCCUCAGUAACGGCGAGUGAAGCGGCAACAGCUCAAAUUUGAAAUCUGGCCCCCUCGGGGUCCGAGUUGUAAUUUGGAGAGGAUGCUUCGGGUGUGGCCCCGGUCUAAGUUCCUUGGAACAGGACGUCACAGAGGGUGAGAAUCCCGUACGUGCCCGGUGGCCGCCCCCGUGUGAAGCUCCUUCGACGAGUCGAGUUGUUUGGGAAUGCAGCUCAAAAUGGGUGGUAAAUUUCAUCUAAAGCUAAAUAUUGGCCAGAGACCGAUAGCGCACAAGUAGAGUGAUCGAAAGAUGAAAAGCACUUUGGAAAGAGAGUUAAACAGUACGUGAAAUUGUUGAAAGGGAAGCGCUGGCAACCAGACUUGCGCGGGGUCGAUCAUCCGGUGUUCGCACCGGUGCACUCGGCCCCGCGCAGGCCAGCAUCGGUCUGGGCGGCUGGAUAAAGGCCUUGGGAAUGUGGCUCUCUUCGGGGAGUGUUAUAGCCCAAGGUGCAAUGCAGCCCGCCUGGACCGAGGACCGCGCUCCGGCUAGGAUGCUGGCGUAAUGGUUGUCAGCGACCCGUCUUGAAACACGGACCAAGGAGUCUAACAUCUAUGCGAGUGUUUGGGUGUCAAACCCAUACGCGUAAUGAAAGUGAACGGAGGUGAGAACCCUUAAGGGUGCAUCAUCGACCGAUCCUGAUGUCUUCGGAUGGAUUUGAGUAAGAGCAUAGCUGUUGGGACCCGAAAGAUGGUGAACUAUGCCUGAAUAGGGUGAAGCCAGAGGAAACUCUGGUGGAGGCUCGCAGCGGUUCUGACGUGCAAAUCGAUCGUCAAAUUUGGGCAUAGGGGCGAA